CAAGAGCCGGAGCCACAGCAGGAUUGAAUCCCACGGGUGCAGGCCCUGAUGGCGCCAUUAAAUGUCCAGCUGAUGCUGCUGCUCCACUGCCACUACCACCUGAGUUUUUUAAGGUAACAAUUAAAUCAACUUUACUGCACAGGAUUUAAGUUAAAUGCAUGUAAUGAAUUUUUUACACUGCUAUUAAAUUCUGCAAUUAGAUUUUAAAGUGAUAAACUCCAUAUUGUAUUAAAUAAAUAAAUAUUAAAAAAAAAUCAUUGUAUACAAGCGGUAUUCAAAAGUUAGAGAAUCCUACACAAACAUAGUGAACUUCUUCACUACCUGAAUAUUUCCCCUUCUUUGCAGGAUGCUGAUAAUACUGCUGGUGCUGCUGGUGCUGAGGGUAAUGCUGUUGCGGCUGCUGGUGCUGCUGAUAGUAAUUCUUAUUGUGUUUCGGCCCAUCAACAGCCUUCUGACAAUGAAGUGUAUGCCCUUCAAAGCUCUUGUGUGGCUCCUCCAACGCCCUUCUUGCACUCUCGACACUCUUAUACACAAACAAACAAAA
rnacentral:lncRNA from 1 species